AACGAACGCUGGCGGCAUGCCUAACACAUGCAAGUCGAACGAGACCUUCGGGUCUAGUGGCGCACGGGUGCGUAACGCGUGGGAACCUGCCCUUAGGUUCGGAAUAACCCCCCGAAAGGGGUGCUAAUACCGGAUAAUGUCUUCGGACCAAAGAUUUAUCGCCUUUGGAUGGGCCCGCGUUGGAUUAGCUAGUUGGUAGGGUAAAAGCCUACCAAGGCGACGAUCCAUAGCUGGUCUGAGAGGAUGAUCAGCCACACUGGGACUGAGACACGGCCCAGACUCCUACGGGAAGCAGCAGUGGGGAAUAUUGGACAAUGGGCGAAAGCCUGAUCCAGCAAUGCCGCGUGAGUGAUGAAGGCCUUAGGGUUGUAAAGCUCUUUUACCCGGGAUGAUAAUGACAGUACCGGGAGAAUAAGCUCCGGCUAACUCCGUG
rnacentral:rRNA from 1 species